AACGAACGCUGGCGGCAUGCCUAACACAUGCAAGUCGAACGAGACCUUCGGGUCUAGUGGCGCACGGGUGCGUAACGCGUGGGAACCUGCCCUUAGGUUCGGAAUAACUCCCCGAAAGGGGUGCUAAUACCGGAUAAUGUCUUCGGACCAAAGAUUUAUCUCCUUUGGAUGGGCCCGCGUUGGAUUAGCUAGUUGGUAGGGUAAAAGCCUACCAAGGCGACGAUCCAUAGCUGGUCUGAGAGGAUGAUCAGCCACACUGGGACUGAGACACGGCCCAGACUCCUACGGGAGGCAGCAGUAGGGAAUAUUGGACAAUGGGCGAAAGCCUGAUCCAGCAAUGCCGCGUGAGUGAUGAAGGCCUUAGGGUUGUAAAGCUCUUUUACCCGGGAUGAUAAUGACAGUACCGGGAGAAUAAGCUCCGGCUAACUCCGUG
rnacentral:rRNA from 1 species